AUGCUGCUUGUUUUAGUUGUGCUUGAUCUGAGACGUGCCAGUCUCCCAGCACCGCUUUGAGAUCUCAAAUAAACUUUGCUUGCUUCUCCACCCUGGUGUGGUUAUUGGCGCAAAGCACACCGGACAACGAAACCUGCUGUUGCUUCCCUCGGGCACUCUGUGAUGGCAACAUAAGGAUUGGUCUACACAGGGAAGUUUUACCAGCAGAAUUAUACCAGUAGAACUCCCCAUGUGGACACUCAGGAAUAAGAGUGUCUUUCUCUAGUUUAGUUGUAUUGCUUUGAAAGCACCAGAGGGACAUGA